GACGAACGCUGGCGGCGUGCCUAAUACAUGCAAGUAGAACGCACAGUUUAUACCGUAGCUUGCUACACCAUAGGCUGUGAGUUGCGAACGGGUGAGUUACGCGUCGGUAAACUGCCUGGUAGCGGGGGAUAACUAUUGGAAACGCUAGCUAAUACCGCAUAAUAUUAAUUAUUGCUUGAUAAUUAAUUUAAAGGUGCAAUUGAACCACUACCAGAUGGUCCUGCGUUGUAUUAGCUAGUAGGUGAGGUAACGGCUCACCUCGGCGACGAUACAUAGCCGACCUGAGAGGGUGGACGGCCACACUGGGACUGAGACACGGCCCAGACGCCUACGGGAGGCAGCAGUAGGGAAACUUCGGCAAUGGACGAAAGGCUGACCGAGCAACACCGCGUGAGUGAAGAAGGUUUUCGGAUCGUAAAGCUCUGUUGUAAGAGAAGAACGGGUGUGAGAGUGGAAAGUUCACACUGUGACGGUAGCUGACCAGAAAGGGACGGCUAACUACGUG
rnacentral:rRNA from 1 species